GACGAACGCUGGCGGCGUGCUUAACACAUGCAAGUCGAGCGGUAAGGCCCUUCGGGGUACACGAGCGGCGAACGGGUGAGUAACAUGUGGGUGACCUGCCCUCCACUUCGGGAUAAGCCUGGGAAACUGGGUCUAAUACCGGAUAUGACUUCUGGGUGCAUGCCUGGUUGUGGUAAAGUUUUUUCGGUGGGGGAUGGGCCCGCGGUCUAUCAGCUUGUUGGUGGGGUGAUGGCCUACCAAGGCGACGACGGAUAGCCGGCCUGAGAGGGUGAUCGGCCACACUGGGACUGAGACACGGCCCAGACUCCUACGGGAGGCAGCAGUGGGGAAUCUUGCGCAAUGGGCGGAAGCCUGACGCAGCAACGCCGCGUGAGGGAUGACGGCCUCGGUU
rnacentral:rRNA from 1 species